rnacentral:lncRNA from 10 species
CUUUAACCACAGAGAGACUGCGCAUUGACACUCAAACCACCUGUGUCCACCUCUUUGUCAUUUAAAUCCUCCCUCUCGGACCUGCCUGCGACCAGGCACAAAUCGGUGCAGGCAAAGUUUUGCUGCAAUAGGUCCUUGCUCUGUCAGAUGAAGGUCUCACCUGAAAAAGGCCGAGGCUAGCAACAUGUGGUAAGAUACUCUCUCACUAUGCUGGGCAGCAGCAGGAGCCUCAGCUCACAGUCAGCCACAGGAUCACAAAGAGCUCAUCAAAUUGUAAACUUCCACAUGGCUGAUAGUCAUAUUCUCUAUCAAUGUGAUCGCCAACCACCAUAUCUGGUACCUGACAAAGUUCUCCCCGUUCUUCUGUCUCCUCUCCUCAAGUGGAAUGAAGGGGUUUCUUUUGGAGCCAUGAGCUGUGCAGCCUGGGGUUAAGGGAGGGGUUUUGCUAGCACCUGCUUAGCUGCCCCAGCUGGUGUCUCUGUAGGCGGCAUGUUCCCCCAGCCCGCUAUUUCUGGGCCUAGUUCAGCACCAAAACUCCCCUAAGAGUUGCUGUUUUUAAGGCCGAGAUUGCCUUCCAAGUUUACUUGGAAACACAGAACACUGUAGCCCUCUGUGGGGAUGUUUGUAGGGAUUCAUGUUCUGACUACUGGGAUUGGUGAUUUCCCUCUGGCUAGGGCUGUUUUAAAUCCUCCCUUUGUGGGUGGGGUCAGCUGAGUUUGAUCUGCGUUUCCUUUCUGCUCUAAAAGGACAGCACUGAGUUCAUUGCCUCAUGAUUGCUGUGCUCUCCCUCCCCAGCCCUCAGAGAUGCUCUCCACACCAGGCCUCUGCUGCUAAGGGUGAGGGAGGGGUGGCAUGGGCAAUUCAGGACUGUUUUUUCUAUCUCUUCAGUGUCUCUUUCAGCAAUAUUAAGUUAAAACCAGGUACUAGGAGUGCUCAUCUGAUUUUUGUUUUUUUAUGAAGGUGUUUUUUCUGUGUAGAUAGUUGUUAGCUUAAUGUCCUUGUGAGGAUGGACAGUCGGUGGAGCUUUUUAUUCCACUAUUUGUUCCCUUUUCAGUGUCACCCA